rnacentral:rRNA from 1 species
CCUACGGGAGGCAGCAGUGAGGAAUAUUGGUCAAUGGGCGGGAGCCUGAACCAGCCAAGUCGCGUGAGGGAAGACGGUCCUAUGGAUUGUAAACCUCUUUAGGCGGGGAGCAAUGCCGGGCACGUGUGCCCGGCGGGAGAGUACCCGCAGAAUAAGCCUCGGCUAACUCCGUGCCAGCAGCCGCGGUAAUACGGAGGAUGCGGGCGUUAUCCGGAUUUAUUGGGUUGAAAGGGUGGGUCGGCGGAUUUUUAAGUCAGCGGUAAAAGGUCCGGGCUGAACCCGGGCCGGCCGUUGAAACUGGGGAUAUGGAGUGGGCGAGAAGUAGGCGGAAUGCGUGGGGUAGCGGUGAAAUGCAUAGAUAGCACGCAGAACUCCGAUUGCGAAGGCAGCAUACCGGCGCCCGACUGACGCUGAGGCACGAAACCGUGGGGAUCGAACAGGAUUAGAUACCCUAGUAGGC